CCCAGCCGGCAGACCUGCAGCUGGAGCGGGAAUGAGGAUCGGGCCCGGACCCCAGAGUUGGGCCCCGGCCAGGAGAGUUUUCUUUGUAGCCCUGCGGGGGCGGGCGGUCCCAGCCCCCAGGCCCGUGACUUCGCGGUUGGGCCGGACCUGCCUGCUGAGGUGUGCCUAGCGGGACAUCCCAGCACUGUAAAAGUCCGGACGGAACACUUGCAGCUCAGUGCAGAGAGAGAAAGGUUGCAAUCAUACUCCUGCUCCGCUCUGGCUGGGAUGCUGAGAGCCAGCAGGUAUCAAAAGCCCCAGCGUAACCAAGUGUAUCUUUGGUGUGGUGUGGCUAAAGAUCUCCCUGCUUGCCAUCCGGAGUCAGUAGUAGCUGUGUGGGGCUGGGGGAGUUGACCCUGCUGUGCUGGGGUGGGGGCAGUAGACCAGGAGUAACUGGAAGUUGCCCUUCAAGCUUAGUGUGUGAGCGGCAGCAUGGAGCCAGGCGGUGUGGGCAUGGAGAGAACAAGAUGCACAGGGACGUCUGCAAAGUGUAGUUGGAGGACAUGGGUAAACUACACGAGGAGAUGCAAUUUCAAAAUGCAUCUGCGCUUGCUAAAUUACGAAAACAAAAGUUGUCCAAAGAGCUAUUGAGGUCCUGCAGGGAGUUUUGCCUGGAGUUGAUACCUGCUGGAGAUAAACAGUUUGGAAGAGUUGUUCGUUUUAUAAGAUGUUCAGGCAGGGUCUAAGCUUGUUUUGUCAUAAUGUUUUGGUCAUAAUUAGCUAGGAUCAUAUAAAGCAACAUAAAAAUGGGAUAUCCCCUCACCCCAAUUUUUACAGGAUCGAAGUGGUUUUAACCAAAAAUGGUUCUAAUCAGCCUAACUGAAGAGAAUGGUUUGGGGAGCGUGCCUUCUUCACAGCCAGGGUUUUGUGGGCCUUCAUAAGUUCUGCAGCAGCAGAGGAAGCUGGAUCACUUAUUUCAAUACAAGUUUUACUUCUGAAAGACAUGGUCUGAAAUCUUAGAAUGGUUAAAGAGUUUUUCCGGGUAAGUGGGCGUUUGCAUUGGCCAGCCUUGGGUUCUGUGGUAGUGCCCUCAUAGGCAAUAGCAGUGAUUCUACAUGUGCCUGUGACAGACUGACAAAUUUAGUUUCCAACACCAGUUAGAUUCUUUGCUGCACCAACAAGGCAGGUUAAUAAGGUUAAAAAGUGUGCAGUGCCGCCAGGAAGGAACCCCUGUGACACCCAGGCUUUGUUAGGCUUUUUGGCCACUUCUGUUUGAAUCAUUGCAAGCCAGAACUUAUCCCUAAACCCUAUUGGUGCGUACAUUAGACUCUGGCAAGACUGGAGCCUUGUUGUUUAUUUUUGCUCUUUUUAAAAACUGUAAAUGUAGUGCGAGACCCAAGUUCGAAAUGUGAUGGCAUUAAAGUAUACAUGUCACUUUUGCUUUCCUCCUCUUUGGAUUCUAAAAGCAAUUGCAUUUCUUAAUCCAAAUAAAACCUAUUGAGUGUCAUGAAGGUAUGCAGCUGGAAGAUAUCCAUUAUCACUGUUUUCUUUGCUGGGAUGAAAAGCCAGGGCCGUUCAGAUGCCAGAUUCUAAAACUCACUCAGCUGCAGGACAUGGCUCGGAGGAGGUGCCCAGGGACGCGGGGACGGCAGCCUCUGCUGGUGGAAGUGUCUGGUGGUACACCGUGGAGCUGACACCCGGCGAGCUGUCUUCUCUCAAGCACUGUUUACUUUUGUAGAACUCAUUGACUUUUCAGAGAGGUGGAGAUUUUUUCAACACUUCCUUUUCCUUCAAGCUUUUUCUGUCAAAACUUUAAAAAACUGCAUAGAGACCAAGUGAAUGCUUAAGCAACAGAAUUCGAGAAAACAUAGCAAUGGGGCAAAGCAGAAAUCUUUUGAGAUACCCCUUUACCAAAGACAGCUUUUGUAACCAAGAAAACAUUGUCUUCUCUGCACCUUUUUUUCCCUUGUCGUCAUAAAAAGAAAAUGAAAUCUUGAAAAGGAACAUGACUCAUUUCUACGCAGCAGGGGGCAAGGCCUGAAGCAGAUGUUUGUAUUCUCGGCUUAACUCCCUGGGCUGGCUUCAGAAGUGUGGCCGAGGGGUUCUCUGGGGGCCUGUGCAUUCUUCCCCUAGAUGAGAAAAGAACUAAAUAUAGGUGGGCGAUAUGACUAAUCGUGUUCUGUGGAGGGACCCAACAAUGACACCUCGAUAUAAUCAAUCAGAGUAAAGCGUACGGCGUUUCAGAGUGGAAUUGGGAAAUGAGGCAUCGGUGGUAUGGUUGGCAGGAGGCCAAGGGCGCAAGGCCGGGUCUCAGGAGGCAGCCUUCGCCUGGGCCCAGCAGCAGAGACUGACCUGGGGGAGCCCCUACAGGGUCAGAUCGUCUGGUACAGAUCGUUGCUUAGAGCUCUCUGAUUUGGGGAUGGAUUAUUCCG
rnacentral:lncRNA from 1 species